CUUGACUACAGCACAUCCAUUUUCCUUUACAGCAUGUAGUACGUUUUAUACCUUUUUCUACAAUGAAUCUUCUAGGCAGAAAUUCCUGUACACAUCUUAUGAACAAAGAAUUUGAGCCUCAACGAGUUCUGGUGCUGGUGAUUAUUAAGUUCUUCACACUUAUCUCAUAGCGGAGCUUAAGAUUCUCACUCUGUCACCCAGGCUACAGUGCAGUGGUGCAAUCUCAACUCACUGCAACCUCUACCUCCUGGGUUCAAGCAAUUCUCCUACCUCAGCCUCCCAAGUAGCUGGGAUUACAGAGCUGAUGGUUUUUAAACAACUUGUGGUAAAACUCUGGUGGAAAAGAUAACAGCAGCAUAUGAUAUGGCAGAGUUGCCCAGAAGAAUCAGAACAUUGUUUUAGAGAAACGUUGGGCAAUUAAUUAAGCCAGCCGAUUAAGUUUUAAAGAAGCUAAACCGUAUCAUGUCGAAAUCAGAGGAGCGAUGAAAAUGUGAGUGGUGGUAUUUCUGCUGUUCUUCCCCAUAGAAGGCUUCUGCAAUUAGCUUCUAUGUCUUCCUUCCCUUAUGGGCAUUCAGAUCCAAACUACUUGCAACUGUAGACAAGGAGAAAGAUGGAACUUGGAGAAGACAUACAGGCUGAAGAAAAAAAAAUGUUUUGGAAGUGAUCUGCACAUUCUAAUUGACCAUGGAUACUCUCUGCAUUCAUGUGGUAACCCAGGGAGAGUAUGGAGUGAAAAGAGGAUCACCAAAGAAACUUGGGGAAUUACACACUAAUAGUGAAGAACAGGUGGCACCUGAAAUCACGGAAAAUGUAUUUGUCCUCAAUGCAAAGAUGAAUUAUAAAGAGCACUUUAUUGUGUUUGAAGAAUGUAGGAAUGAUGAAUGAAAUGGUGAAGGAAGUGGAUAAACAAUGAUGUAAUGACUUAGCCUCAUCUUUCAACUCAAUAAGCCAGUGAGGAACUUGGUAAAUUUGUUGAUUAUGUUUAGUUUUACAAUGCUUAAUUCUUUAUUAUUUUGAAGUGAUGUAUUUUAUUAUAAGGAAUGAUCAAUAGUAAUGCAUCCUCCAAAACUGUGGAAAGAUCAUAUUGUGCAAACUAGAGCACAAAAAUCACAUUCCUCCUGCAUGGGCAUGAAAUCUUUAUCAAAUGACAUCAGGCACUGAAGCAGCUAUCUGAUACCUUCCUUGCUUCCACCAAAUGGAAAGGUUAUUUUAGGAUUCUCUCUUUGUCUGUCUCUUAUGCUGCAAACAUAGUCACUCUCCUCAGUCAUCAUACUCACAAUACCACUCCCUUCACAAAUAAAGGACAAAUACUUAUUCAAGUUUCCAUGAAAAGGAGUAACUACUAAGACCUUGACAUUCUUGAAGAAGCAUAUAUUUGCUGUUCUAAGUAAUGUUUAUGAUCAAGGUUCUUGUGCAACCAGAUACGGUUUCUAACAGGAAGCUUAUAAAUUUUUCUUAUAAUUGCUGUCAAAACUGCAGUGAAGUGUACUACAAGUUUUGAUAAUAAAGAAUAAAGUCACAGUUCAAACUCGAUUAUAUUUUGGAAAUUCAUGCUCCUCUUACUAGAAGCAGUGGCCUUAAAUAUCUUCCCACCCUGCCAAAUUUUUCACUUGCACUUUUUAUUAUUUAUGAAAUCAGUCUCUGCACAAUGUCAUGCAGACCUCUGCUGAUAAACUCUAAUUAAGAUUAAGACAAGCCUUUUGGAAAGGAUCCCAUCAUUAGCAAACAUGAUAAACACAAAAAUACUCCCUACUUGUCAACCAGGAGCAAUUCAGUAACCUAACAGUAUUAUCUGUUGCUAGGUUACAGCGCUGACAAAGCUUCAAUUAUAUUGUUCCACCAUACCUAUAGAGUUCUGUAUAAGCAAAAUGUAUCCAGAAUAAAAGCUUUUAACUUCAUCCAUGCUAUCUGCAAUUCAUGGCUUCUUACAAUGGUAAAUAUCAGGUUAAUAAUUACAUAGCACGCUGAAAAAUCUUUUCCAGGUGUUAUGUCUAUACAUGUUUCUUUCUAAUUUAUCUGUGUGAUUGAUAGACGCUUGCUUUAUAAAAAUAAGGAAAUGCAAGCAACGUGAAGCUGUAAACCUCUAGCACAACUACGGGGGCUCAUCAAGAUAUGCACCUAAGCUUAGCAUAAAAAUAUAUAACAAAUUGAACCAAUUAAAUUACAUUUAGAUUUUGUAUUACUUUGCCUCAAUAUAUAGUAGGAUAAGGAGCCUCAGGCAAUAGAUAGGAAUAUCAGUGUGAAACUUUAUUUUAAGCUAAAAACAAACAAGCAAACAAACCGCACACAUUCUCACUAACAAUACAAAAGGAAAUAGAUGGUUUAAAAUAACAAGUUAUUCUAAUGGCUUUUCUAAAGACAUUUAAAAGUUAAAGUUAAUGACUUUUACUGCAUAGCAUCGUCAUUAAGUCUCAUUUCUCUUUUUUUAGACUAGGAAUUCUGGGGGAAAAAAUCAAUAAAACAUUCCCCACAAUACAGAUAUUUAAUAGGGAAAAACCAAAGUAAAAGACGUCUGUGUAAAAAAAAAAAAAAAAAA